rnacentral:rRNA from 1 species
UGAGGGAUAUUGCACAAUGGGCGCAAGCCUGAUGCAGCGACGCCGCGUGAGGGAUGACGGCUUCGGGUUGUAAACCUCUUUCAGUAGGGACGAAGCGCAAGUGACGGUACCUACAGAAGAAGCACCGGCCAACUACGUG